rnacentral:rRNA from 1 species
GACGAACGCUGGCGGCGUGCUUAACACAUGCAAGUCGAACGGAAGGGCCCUGCUCUUGUGGGGUGCUCGAGUGGCGAACGGGUGAGUAACACGUGAGUAACCUGCCCUUGUCUUUGGGAUAACUUCAGGAAACUGGGGCUCAUACCGGAUAGGAGCUCCUGCUGCGUGGUGGGGGUUGGAAAGUUUCGGCGGUUGGGGAUGGUCUCGCGGCUUAUCAGCUUGUUGGUGGGGUAGUGGCUUACCAGGGCUUUGACGGGUAGGCGGCCUGAGAGAGUGACCGGCCACAUUGGGACUGAGAUACGGCCCAGACGCCUACGGGAGGCAGCAGGGGGGAAUAUUGCACAAUGGGCGGAAGCCUGAUGCAGCAACGCCGCGUGCGGGAUGACGGCCUUCGGGUUGUAAACAGCUUUCGACUGUGACGAAGCGUGAGUGACGGUAAUGGGUAAAGAAGCACCGGCUAACUACGUG